CAGAAAGCCCCCACCUGUGCGUAUGCAGGCAAUGAUUAGAGAGACACCUUUCAGUGGGCGGCCGGCAGUUUAGGGUUAAGGGCCGGUCCAGGUGAGGGAAGCCAAUGAGCGCCCGCCCGGGGCCGAGCCUGACAUCAUCCCGCCGGGGAGCGCCCAGCCCGGCCGGGGCAGCGCCGCCGCCGCCCAGCCCCGCCGUGAUGGAUGUUUACAGCUCCUCCGUGAAAGCCAAUUAUCUCGCUUUUGUGUGAGGCCCAGGGAUCGCUCAGGCUGCCUGCUCGCACACGGCGCUGCCGGAUCCAGCUGAAGCGAUUGUUUUCCCUGUGUCUGAUUCACAUUAUGUACCUGAGGGAUGGGGGUUUUUUCCCAGUAAUCAGUGUGUGCACUUGUACACACCUACCAACAAACAGCCAAACAUAACCUUAUACGGAGGAAUCACCUAUUCCUAAAGCAACUCUUACACUUCAGUAAACAUGCAGGUAUACAUAUAUUUAUACAUAAAUAAAGUUUAUCUUUGUUCAACAAAAAUUCUUCUGCAGUAUUCAAGUAAACACUAGUUCGUCACAGGGAUUCAGUGAAAUUAAGUACACUAGAAAUUCAGAGAAAUGGGUUAUGUAUUUUUAAAAAUUUGUUUCAUCCUUGGUUACUAACCUUUGUACUUAAUUUCCUCUGUUGUUUGAAUACUGUCUUAUUAAUCCAUUAUGUCAGAAGCAUAAUUCUUUCCUGGUUCCUGAACAAAUUAUUCACAAAGAGAAUAAAUUAAAAUGCUUCUGGGGGAACGAUCUGCUUUAUAAGCAACCCAGAUACCUAAUGUAUUAGACGUAAUUAAUAUGGUUAUCUGAAGCACUAAAAACUUUAAGUUGCAUUAUUAGAUAUUCUUUUGUUUCUUCAGAGGUUUUCAGUGUAACAGAGGUGCUGGUGCUCUUUACCCAUACUGACAGUGCUCACUGUGCAAGCACAUUCAAGAGAGAAAAUAAUCUCUUCCAUAGUCUAAUACCUUCUCCCUGCUUCACACACAAAUAAAGAAAGGAAAAGCAAAGUAGAAAGGCAAUUUUUUUAUACAGUUCUAAUUUCCAGUGAUGUCUUUUACUACAGAAGUAGUACAAAUGUAGCAGGAGUGAUGGCCAUGUUCGUUUUGCUUCAUCUCUCAAGCUGCCCAGAGUGUGUCUGCUUGGCCCAAUUUCUGCUAGUGGAGAUUCCAAGGCUCUAAGGUGUCAAAGAGAGAUAGAUGAAGUGGUAGGGUGAUUUAUGCUUAGUGCUUAUAUUAUGGGUAAAAAAAUCUGAUCAGGAAGACAUUAUUAUUUUGAUAAGAACCAUUUCCCUGUUGACUUUAAAUAGUUUAAGAUCUGCUUUCAAGAGCCUUCUAAGAUAGCUGUACAUUUCUGUCACUUGAAAUGGGAUUGAUUUAUCUUUCUGACCUGCCAAUUUCAAAAUGGAAAAGUUCUCUCCCAAAUCUUAAGGAAGAACUGAGAUCAAUCAUGGUGUACAAGAUCGCGUACUCUUACAGUGAUAAUGUUGGAAUUCCAUAGUCUUUUGUUGAACAUAGGUUUUUAGGUACAUGUAGCGUGGGAAUAAUUUUGACUCCUCCAAAUAUUCAAAAAUUUAGUUUUAUAUUGUUUUGGUUUGUUUUUUUCUCAAACUAAACCUGUAGUGUAACUGAGGCGUCUAUUCAGUCUGUGCUAAAAGAAUCUGCCCUUCUCCAUUUUUCCCAACCUCAUAGCUCUGCAAAGAUGAGACCUAAUCAUUUGUGUGCCUUCAUAACAAGACAUUAUAUUACCCAAAACCAAAGGAUAAGAUGUUUGAUAGUCCCUCUCUGUAAAGAUAUUAAGGCAUCAGUGCUUGGAUUGAAGUAAAUGGCAAGUUGGCAAAAAAGUGAAUUAACAGAACAGUACAAGGAUUUACAAGCACAGUUGUAAGCAAUGUUUGUUUUCAUAAGCAGCACAGAAAGCAAAUUCAGAAAGAACUUCUCAGUGUUAGGGGGAAAGGCUGAACCAACCACUUAGCAAAAUAAAAAAGCGUGAAAAAUGUGUAGGAGCAGUAGAACACUGCAGGUUUCUUAGAUAGUAGGAGGGAGCAGAGUUUGAUGAGCCUAAAGGUCCCUUUAAAUAUUCCAUCAUAUGAAAACAAUUAAUUUAAAUUCCUUUUCUAUCCAUAAUUGUAUAUUCAGUCAAUACUGGAAUAUAUGAUUCUUCUGAAGCACAUUUUACAGGAAGCCUUUGAAGUACUUCCCAGAUUAUAUGAUUUUAAAUGAUGCACAUCAGCAUUCCAUUGCUAAAAUACCAGGAAGGUCAUAGAGAUGUUUAUUCUUCCAUGUCAAUGUUUUUCCAUGAAUGACUUAAUUUUACAUUUUUUUUAAUUGAUGAUCAGACAAACACUUGUCACACUAAUGUUGAAAGAGAGCAUGUAAACUUACAUUACACAUUCUUAGAUAUGUUUUUAAGAGAGGAAAUUUUUUGACUGUAAAAAAAAGAAAAUUAGGGUUUUCUUACCAUGAAAUAUAUUUAUUUUCUAAAGAUUCUUUUGUUAAAGGCAUAGGAGUCUUUUAUUUUACACUUUAUUGUUAAAUUAUACUUUUUAAAUGUACCAACAGUGAAUAUGAAAUUUUUAUUCAAAUUUUUCCAAGUACUACUGUAGUAAUGUAGAACAAUUGAUUUCUUCUGCCCAAUUAUCUCCAUAAAUGUAAAAUACUAAUACUUUAAAUAUUAUUUUAAAAUUCUUAAAACCGUGAUUUAAAAAGUGCAUAGUCAUUUAUUUAUCUAUCAUAUCCAAAUGCAUCUCAUGAUCACUACAGACAUAAGAAGGCACAGUUCAUAUUUCCUUGACAACAUCCUUGAUAAUUGCUGAUAGCAUUCUCAUGCUGGCUGGAGACAGUUCCUUGGGGACUCAGUCCACAGAAUCUGUUUGUCUAGCUUGACUUUGCUGAUCCUAACAAGAAUGAAUUCCCUUAACACUGGUGAACUUAUAAACAUUGAGGCCUGUCUAAUCUGAUCUUGUAUGCAGACAUGAAGUAGGAUAAUUUUUGUACAGAACAAUUAUGUGUCUUAAAAAGAAAUCAUAUUCUGUUACAUAGCUCUUUCGGUGAAGUCUCAAGAGUAAAUUCUCCAUUCUCUUCAUCACAGCAGUCUAAACAAGAUAAAAUAGGUUCUUGUUACUCGGUUGUGUCUGAUAACAUCUGCAGCUGAAUUUUUCAGGAAUGUAAGUUUCAGUGGUCCACUUGAACAGUAAAAGGUUCAGCAAAAAAUUUAAGUUAUUUGUGUUCUGUUGCUAAGUGGUUGUGAGUCAUAGUUGCAAAUCACGUACAGAAACACAGAAUAGUUAAGGUUGUAAAAGAUGCCUAAGACCAGCAAGUCAUUAACCCAGAAUCACUGCUCUCAACACAAACCCAUAUCCCCAAACUCCAAAUCUGCACACCUUUUGACCUCUUCCAGGGAUGGUGAUUCUACCACUUUUCCAGGCAGAAGGUACACAUUUCUACCUGUCUGGAGCAGGUGAUGAUUUUAUGAAAAUGUAAUUGUAGACACUUUUGUGAAUAUGGCAGAUCUUCAUGUAUUGCAGAUUCUAGUCUGAGUAUGGGCAGAUAAGGUAAUAGAGAAAAAGAGCUAUUAGGAUUGUCACUGAAAUUGAAUGGCUUGAAGGGUUUACAUUCGAGAGCUACAUAUAUAUCAAUCAAUACAUUUUUUUUGUCGCAAACAUUUUGUGUAGUCAGGACAAGAAAAUCUGCUUAUUCUGAAAUAAAUAUCACUAAUGUACUUGAAUAAUGAGAGAUACUGCCAUUUUCUGAGACAGAAGCAAGAACAGUAAACAUCACUGCACAAUGGAAAGAUAUUUCCCCUUCAGAUAUUAUUGCUGUAUCUUCUUAGAACUGGAGUUAGCUGAAUCAAAUC